rnacentral:rRNA from 1 species
AUUGAACGCUGGCGGCAUGCCUUACACAUGCAAGUCGAACGGCAGCACGGGUGCUUGCACCUGGUGGCGAGUGGCGAACGGGUGAGUAAUACAUCGGAACAUGUCCUGUAGUGGGGGAUAGCCCGGCGAAAGCCGGAUUAAUACCGCAUACGAUCUACGGAUGAAAGCGGGGGACCUUCGGGCCUCGCGCUAUAGGGUUGGCCGAUGGCUGAUUAGCUAGUUGGUGGGGUAAAGGCCUACCAAGGCGACGAUCAGUAGCUGGUCUGAGAGGACGACCAGCGACACGGGGACUGAGACAGGGCCCAGACUCCUGCGGGAGGCAGCAGUGGGGAAUUUUGGACAAUGGGCGAAAGCCUGAUCCAGCAAUGCCGCGUGUGUGAAGAAGGCCUUCGGGUUGUAAAGCACUGUUGUCCGGAAAGAAAUCCUUGGCCCUAAUACGGUCGGGGGAUGACGGUACCGGAAGAAUAAGCACCGGCUAACUACGUG